rnacentral:rRNA from 1 species
GUAGGUGGCAAGCGUUGUCCGGAAUUAUUGGGCGUAAAGCGCGCGCAGGUGGUUCUUUAAGUCUGAUGUGAAAGCCCCCGGGCUCAACCGGGGAGGGUCAUUGGAAACUGGGGAACUUGAGUGCAGGAGAGGAAAGUGGAAUUCCACGUGUAGUGGUGAAAUGCGUAGAUAUGUGGAGGAACACCAGUGGCGAAGGCGACUUUCUGGCCUGUAACUGACACUGAGGCGCGAAAGCGUGGGGAGCAAACAGGAUUAGAUACCCUGGUAGUCCACGCCGUAAACGAUGAGUGCUAAGUGUUGGGGGGUUUCCGCCCCUCAGUGCUGCAGCUAACGCAUUAAGCACUCCGCCUGGGGAGUACGGUCGCAAAGACUG